rnacentral:rRNA from 1 species
UACGGGGGGAGCAAGCGUUGUUCGGAUUUACUGGGCGUAAAGGGCGCGUAGGCGGCCAGCACAAGUCAGUUGUGAAAUCUCCGGGCUUAACUCGGAAAGGUCAACUGAUACUGUGCGGCUAGAGUGCAGAAGGGGCAACUGGAAUUCUCGGUGUAGCGGUGAAAUGCGUAGAUAUCGAGAGGAACACCUGCGGCGAAGGCGGGUUGCUGGGCUGACACUGACGCUGAUGCGCGAAAGCCAGGGGAGGCGAAACGGG